GAUGAACGCUAGCGGCAGGCUUAAUACAUGCAAGUCGAGGGGCAGCAGGUUUGUAGCAAUACAGAUGCUGGCGACCGGCAAACGGGUGAGGAACACGUACGCAACUUUCCUUCAAGUGAGGAAUAGCCCAGGGAAACUUGGAUUAAUACUUCGUAAUAUUAUGAGAUGGCAUCAUUUUAUAAUUAUAGCUUCGGCGCUUGAAGAUGGGCGUGCGCCUGAUUAGGUAGUUGGCGGGGUAACGGCCCACCAAGCCGACGCUCAGUAACUGGUGUGAGAGCACGACCAGUCACACGGGCACUGAGACACGGGCCCGACUCCUACGGGAGGCAGCAGUAAGGAAUAUUGGGCAAUGGACGAAAGUCUGACCCAGCCAUGCCGCGUGGAGGAUGAAGGUCCUCUGGAUUGUAAGCUCUUUUGUCCGGAAAGAAAAGCGCCGGGUUAAUACCCUGGUGUCCUGACGGUACCGGAAGAAUAAGCACCGGCUAACUUCGUGCCAGCCGCCGCGGUAACAC
rnacentral:rRNA from 1 species